UACGAAUGUGGCAAGCGUUGUUCGGAAUCACUGGGCGUAAAGAAUGCGUAGGCGGCUUAAUAAGUCGGAAGUGAAAUCCCAGGGCUUAACCCUGGAACUGCUUUCGAAACUGUUUUGCUAGAGUCCCGGAGGGGUUAGCGGAAUUCCGAGUGUAGAGGUGAAAUUCGCAGAUAUUCGGAGGAACACCAGUGGCGAAGGCGGCUAACUGGACGGGAACUGACGCUGAGGCAUGAAAGUGUGGGGAUCAAACAGG
rnacentral:rRNA from 1 species